rnacentral:rRNA from 1 species
UACGUAGGGUGCAAGCGUUAAUCGGAAUUACUGGGCGUAAAGCGUGCGCAGGCGGUUAUACAAGACAGAUGUGAAAUCCCCGGGCUCAACCUGGGAAUUGCAUUUGUGACUGGCGUGCUGGAGUGUGGCAGAGGGAGGUGGAAUUCCACGUGUAGCAGUGAAAUGCGUAGAGAUGUGGAGGAACACCGAUGGCGAAGGCAGCCUCCUGGGCCAGCACUGACGCUCAUGCACGAAAGCGUGGGGAGCAAACAGG